CCACCGGGUCACAUGGCUCGGAGCCGAGCAGAGGAUCAAAGGGGCUUUGUGGCCGCGGAACAAGGAGCCUCCCAGAGCGCAGAGCAGAGCCUCCAUCUGUCCCCCAGCUGUCUGGGCCCACGGGCCACUCCCAGGGCCACCACCCCACUCCAGUGCACGGCCGGCCUCCUCCAAGCCCGGCCUCCUUCCCCCCUCCGCCGGAUUCCUGACCUGGGAGGCGGCAGCAUGGGUGCUUUGCCAAGUGGCCGCCACUCUCACAAGUGCCCCCUGGCUAGUCACGGGCCGACGGGUCUCCAGACCACAGGAGAGGGAAUCCUGGGCCGGGCCACUACCCCCACACGGGGCUUCCGUCCGAGGCACUUCUCGGAGUCCCUGCCGCUCAGCCACACUCGGCACCGGGACCGCAGCCUGAAGCGUGCUCCCUGCCCCCCGAUCCACUGCGGCCACGGGUGUAACUGUGACUUUUCUAGCUGCCACAUUUAUAAAAUGCAGUGUCACCCGACAGGUGACAUUAACUUGAAUAUAUUUUACUUAACCUAAUAACAGCCAAAACAUUAUCUGUUCAACAUGCGAUCAAUGCAAAAGCGACGGAGAUGUCUUAGACUGUUUUCCCUUCGCUCGGGCUCUGCAACCCAGUGUGCACGUCACGCUCAGGGCACCUCUCGACUGGGACCAGCCACACUGCGAGGCUCAGCAGCACUUGUAGCCACUGGCUACUGUGUGGGACCCCACAGCCCUCGAUGUCAUCCCAGGAUCACACCAGAUCACCGGCAGCGCUGAUGUGGGCCGGGCUGUCACUUGAGCCUCCCAGAGGCUCCUCUCAGGCCACACUUAGGGGUGGACAGGACAUGGCUUGGUGAAACACAGUGCUGAGGCCACCGAUCCCUGCCUGCAUCAGUGCCCCCUUCCUGGGGACACCCCGGGCACAUUUCUCUCAGAUGUCACUAUGAGAAAGAGCACAGCUUCUCCUGAGACACCGACUUGCUAGACACCUGCUAAGCAUCACUCAGACUAUUCCAACGACAUCAGCCACUGCCGCUGCCAGCGCAUCCCUCUGCCUGGUGUCCCCAUCCACUUACCUGGCUCACAGGUGCUCAGGCUGGAAGAACCCCCGGCUCACAGGCAGCGGGCCUGGCUCGAAUGGGUGAGCUAGGCCACUGGAAUGUCCCCCAGGAGUGUGGAGUUAGGAACUUUUUUGGGGUGGCAGGCCCUGAAGCUUAGAGAUCCUGCAGGCUGGGGGCUGUGAAACUCUCUGGGGCCAUUUGCAACGAGGGCUACUCGGGUGGGGGCCCCAGAGCGGAGCAAGGCGAGGAGGAGAGUGUGGCCCGUCCACUCCUGCCCUUCCGGAGGCCUAGAUAACCAACUCAUCGUGCUGCUGUUUGUUUAUUUUAAAGUUGCACAGAAUUGCGCUUAAUUAAAAGAGAAUUUAUAGAGACACAGAAAGCACAGUGGUGGCUGCCAAGGCCUAGAGGAGGGAGGGUGAGGCUUCCUUUCGGGGCGAUGAAAAAGUCUGGCGCUAGACAGUGGUCAUGGUUGCACAGCUCUGCCAGUGUACGCAAGUGCCACUAAUUGUAUGUUAGUUGUAUGUUCUGUGUAUUUGAACACAAUAAAAAACAUUUAAAAAUG